AUGGACAAGAGUAUGGGUCUGGACAUCGAUGGAGGAGACAUGGAGGAGCUGAUGAGGGAAGCACUUGCUGGACUCCAGAGUGAGCAGCAGAAGCUAAGAGACAAAGAAAAGAGGAAGCCCCUGAAGGAGAUCUCCCGUAUCCUAAAGGAGGGGACUCUCCCUGCAAACAGUAACCUUUCCCUCACCUUCCUGUCCUCCACGCCAGAAAUCACCUCAAGCAAGAAAAUAUACCAGAAACCUCGGAAAUGGAAAUGGAAGUUUCUCUGGUCUGAGCAUCCCACCACCUCCAGUAAUAUCUUCUUAGAAAACAUUUCCUCUACCUGAUGAAGUAGAUCUCUUUUCCCCCUGACACCUCCGCUUCCCUCACGAUAAAUGGUUCUGAACCUCCUACUGCAAGCAAAGUUGGUGUUUAGUUUAUCGGUAAUUAAUUGCUAGCACUUCUGACAAAACAUAGUGGAACUACAAAGCGACCACUUAGAAAGGGAAGCAACUGUCAGCUGCCACUCUAAUGAAUCCUGCUUACCAGAGGUGGAGGCACAGAGGCUCCCAGCAGCCCGGCUGGUGUACAACCUUCUGUGCAUAGAAAGUAGAGCAUGAAAAACUCCGUGCUCGUGCUGGCUGGGACUCGCGAGAUAGUCAUUCUUCAGGCCUCUGUAGUAGAUGCUCCGCAUAGUGCUCCCUCAGUGAGUGCCCGCUGCUGCUUUCAUCAUUGGUGACAGUCAUCACCACACCAUAGCCCUCUGUGGACCUUUCCUACUGCGUCAUGGCUCCCUGAGAGUUUGGACAUAAGGAGCAUCUCAGCUCCAAGAAUCGUCAUAGCAGGGAAUCAGUUCUGUCCCAAUCUGUCUGGGAUCAGCGGACUCCUGCCAGAGUAGUACUUGGGAAAAUACCUCUCUCCGUGGGAGCAAAACGACAGUGCACUGCAGAUUAAACUGUUUUUCUCUGCUAUUUCACAACCUGCAAGGUUUUAAGGAUGCAUAGAUCAAUGAUACUCGUAGCAAGUAUCAUUUUCUAAAUGUACUUAAAUACUAGUGUCGCAACACGUGUUCUUUCAGGAUGAAGAUCCACGUGUGUACAGCACUUCCUUGAGCUCAUAUUCCCUUGCACCAGUGAAAUUUAUGGUUAAACGUUCAGGACCUGUUGUGUGGAUAUGAUCUCACUGCCUUACUUCUGGCAGAUCAUUUGCUAGGCACUUGUGUGAAUCUUGGGCUUUAGAAUUAAGGAGUGCUGAACACAGAAAUCAGUGCUCAAAUGACACAGUGGUGUGUGGAUGGUGAACUUCCUGACUUUUUAUAACUCUUCUGUAAAGAUGUUAAGGAGAUUUGGAUGUAAGGAGCUGCUUACUAAAGAAAGAGAUCUAUACUAACUCCUUCUCUGUGAAAUGAAAGCCAUUUUGAAGUCAGCACAUCUACCUUUAGUUGCUUGGGUAUAUCAAUAAUUUGUCUUCAUGUUCUUAUCUUUGCUGUGUGGGAAGAAAGAAGUAUUCAUGUCAAAGGGGGACCUGGUUUCUUGAUUUCGAAGCCCUUAAGAACACAUAAAAAUAACUAGUUCUGCCUUCCAGGAUUUCUGUCAGAUUUUGCCUAAUUGCAAAAGAAGUGCAGCCCGUAGGUCUUAUUGUUGUGGGUAGGAUGACGGAAACUAACCCCAUUAUCAAUCAGCCAUGCUUUUCUUGUUAUCAUUGGUAAUGCAAACAAUGUCUGUGCUCUGAGAGCUGAUAAACACUAAAUAUAUUUUUAAACAAUGCAAGUGUGCUUAGUACUCUAACCUAAUUUCUUAAAUUUGUAAAAUCAUGUAACAUGUUUGCUUUUUAUAUUUGGAAUUACUACCUCUUAAACUCUUUUACCAUAUUGUAAAUAGUACAAAAACCCCACACAUUUUGUUGAACUUGUAUUGUUGUGAAGUAUUAUUGUGGCAAUCUCUUAUCAAAGGGUUGAACACUUCCUCCUAGUGGAAAUGAAGUAGAUUGAAAAAGGGGGGAGGAGGUAUUGGAGAAAUUCUCAGUCCAGAAACAUUAAGUCCUCAUAACUGGUAUCAGGGUUCCUCAAAAUCUGUUUUACAAUUUAUACCUGUCAUGGAAAAGGCCAGACUGGAUUUAAUAUUUUAGCUCAAAUUUUGAUUCCACAUAUACUUGGCUCCCCCAGAAUGAAUAUAUUUUCUAUUUUCCUCUUCAUUUCCUCAAGCAAAAUGGGACUUAAGUCACCAGUGAAAUAUUGCAGGAUGAACUGGCCUAAGGGAGAUAUGUUUUCUAAUUUUAAUGUCUUGGGAAGUUUGGUUGAUAUAAAUACUCAUAGCGGUAGUUUGCCGAGCUCAAUGCACUCUACUUCUAAUCAAAAGUCAGACGAAGUCGGAGAAAGAAUAUAGAGUUAAUGAAGUUCUCCUCUCCAUUGUGUGUGUUCUGCUUCAUAACAGUUACAUGUCUUAAAUUUUUACAUUUUGAAGCUUUCAUGAAGACAUACCACAAUGCUAAAUGUAAGUUCUCUUUAGAAAGUGAUAGAAUUAUGUUUAACUAUAGACUCAACUAACAGAAUUUGAUUUUUUCAAAAUACAACUUUUUAAAUUAGUUGUUGUGACCUUUAUAAACAUUUAAAAUUAAGAUAGAAU
rnacentral:lncRNA from 1 species